rnacentral:rRNA from 1 species
UAGGGAAUCUUCCACAAUGGGCGAAAGCCUGAUGGAGCAACGCCGCGUGAGUGAAGAAGGUUUUCGGAUCGUAAAACUCUGUUGUAAGGGAAGAACAAGUACAGUAGUAACUGGCUGUACCUUGACGGUACCUUAUUAGAAAGCCACGGCUAACUACGUGCCAGCAGCCGCGGUAAUACGUAGGUGGCAAGCGUUGUCCGGAAUUAUUGGGCGUAAAGCGCGCGCAGGCGGUCCUUUAAGUCUGAUGUGAAAGCCCACGGCUCAACCGUGGAGGGUCAUUGGAAACUGGGGGACUUGAGUGCAGAAGAGGAAAGUGGAAUUCCAAGUGUAGCGGUGAAAUGCGUAGAGAUUUGGAGGAACACCAGUGGCGAAGGCGACUUUCUGGUCUGUAACUGACGCUGAGGCGCGAAAGCGUGGGGAGCAAACAGGAUUAGAUACCCUGGUAGUCCACGCCGUAAACGAUGAGUGCUAAGUGUUAGGGGGUUUCCGCCCCUUAGUGCUGCAGCUAACGCAUUAAGCACUCCGCCUGGGGAGUACGGUCGCAAGACUG